rnacentral:rRNA from 1 species
CCAAGACAUCUAGCCAUGCCACACCCAUAAGGGCCCUCAGCAGUGAUCCCCCUUAAAAAUAAUCGUCAGUUUGAUUUAGUUAAUGAAGAUCAGAGCCGGCCAACCUGGUGCCAGCCGCCGCGGUUAUACCAAGUGACUCAAAUUGAUUCGGCGUAAAGCGUGAUUAAAGUAGGAUUAAACUUAAACUAAGCUGUAGCACGCCUGUAUUUAGGAAGACCAUACUUCGAAAGAUAUCCUAAAACACCAACUUGAAUUCACUACAACUAGAACACAAACUGGGAUUAGAUACCCCACUAUGUCUAGUCAUAAACCUUAACUUACAUCGCCAGGGAACUACGAGCUUAAGCUUAAAACCCAAAGGACUUGACGGUGCCCCACAUCCUUCUAGAGGAGCCUGUCCUACAACCGAUACCCCCCGUUCUACCUCACCAUUUUUAGCAGCCUGUAUACUUCCGUCGUCAGCUUACCGCAUGAGCGAGUAAGCCUAAUGCCAAUACGUCAGGUCAAAGUGCAGCAAAUAAAAUGGCAUGAGAUGGGCUACACUUUCUAUGCUAGAAGAUACCAAAGAAUAUGUGAAACAGAAGGUGGAUUUAGUAGUAAGAAGAAAAUAGAAUAUUCUUCUUAACAUGGCACUGGGGCGGUACACACCG